rnacentral:lncRNA from 1 species
AGGAGAGGAACACAGGAGGCGUGCUUACCCUCUGAACCCCUACCCUCAGAUAACAUAGUCAUCCACACUGUGUGCCCAAGUCUGUGUGGCUGAGUACUAUGUCUGCUACCUGGUCCCUGAAAUAAAUCUGCGAUCCCUGUAGUGGUAGUUUUGGUUACACUGCUUUGUGCUCCCGGUGGGUCACGUGCUUCCAGCGACCCGCCCAGGAACCCUUUUGAUCUUUGAAUGAAAGACACACACUAGCUUAUUUUUGAAAUGCUUCAGCUAACUCAAAGGCUGGGCAGUUCUAAUCCUCCACCCUGCUGUCAUAGAUUUCCUUCUAGUACUCCCGAC